CAAUUUUCUUGCAAGGAGAUGCAACGUUUCCCUAAAAGGCUUCCCAUAUGGUCUACUGGGCAAGAUAACGUUGCACUAGAACUACGCAGCCUUCCCCCAGUAAAUGAUUUCCUUUUAUUUGUAGUUAGUCAUUAGAUAAACUCUGUGUAUGCAAUGGUGUAGCAAUGUUCUGCUUCUGGACAAGUCCUUUUUGUACUAUUAGCAAAUCUCCACUCACCACUGUAGUUGUGUAUACACGCAGAAUCAAAUUAAAAAUAGCAUGCUGCACAUAAGCCAAAUGCAAAAAGCCUGUAGUGAAGAAAGUAGAUUCAAAAAUCAGGCACACAGCCUAGGCAGUUCAGAAUGAAUGUUGCAGAAAAGUAAUUAAUCCCAAGUAUUCAAAGUUUGGCUUUUGGAACAAACGGCUCAAGGUUUAUAAUAGAAAAUCUUGGAUACCCUUCACUCUAGGUAGGAGCACUGCUGUCUCUGCUUGUAGUUACAAGCUUCUAUAUCCAAAAGUGUUUCAUAUCAUGUAGUUCCUGUAACUACCAGGUUUGUUUGAUAUCCAUUACGUUUCCUAACAAAAAAGGUUGAAUAAUUCUCCAUAUGAAAGUUUGCAGAAGAUACUCAGUUUUAACUAGCUUUUUUAGGCACCAAUGAAUAAGUAGACAGCUUAAAUUCUAGUUGCCUAAAAAAAUACUAGAAUUAUUCCCAUGUAUGUAAUAAGAAGGAAAAUAACUCUGGUAAAAGGAAAUAAAAAUAAGCUGGUGGUUGGGCUUAAUUUCAGCUUAAUUUCAGUUCAGCUUAAGAAAAUGUUGUCUUGCUAUCCAUAAAUGCAUGGUUUUAGUUCAAGCACUUGUUUUUGCAUUUUAGUUCACACCUGGCCUAUAAAUGAUGCACAAUACAUGGACAGGGGAAAGCAGCCUAUGGUUCUGUAACAGCGUCUAACAUAGCGUGGCGAGCUUGGAAGAGCUUUCAAGGUGAACAUGUUUGUGGCCUCUGCUUAGGGACAGUUUAAGUCCUGCAUUGUCCACCUGCAGGUUCCCCUGUUUUAGAAAGAGAAAAGGACGUUCUAAGUCUUGUGCAUGUUAUAAAGCAGGAUCAUCUGUUUCAGGCAAUCCCUGCCUGUGGGCAAGAACCUCCACGAGAUGGUUAAGUGUGUGGUGCUGCUUUGAUCAGUGUGUUGAUACAGUGGGAAAGUUUACAAGAUUACAGGUGUCUUUGUUUAGAACACACACAGCCUGAAACGAUGUGAAAGAGCUUCAAAUGCCUGCCUGCUGGUUCCAUUAGCUUUUUCUCUGAUGCAAAGUAAAACAUAUAGCUCCAAAUUUGUACUAUGAAGCUAAUGAGAGAAAUGAAGAAAUAUAAAUUAGCAGUACAGUUUUUAAAAUACUUGGAUUGUGCCUUUUAAAUUAUUAUAUGUUACUAUAACAUUUCAUUUUAACUAUACUAUUAAAAAUGAUAACUCAUGAAAUGCUGCACGUUGGGUACUUUCAGGUCACACAGUUGGGACAACAGAGGUUCUGUCUCCAAAUGUUAGAAGGACCCCCAAGAGAAAUGCCUGUGCAGCGUUAAACGCUCGCUUAAUUCUG
rnacentral:lncRNA from 1 species